rnacentral:rRNA from 1 species
ACGAACGCUGGCGGCGUGCUUAACACCUGCAAGUCGAACGGAAAGGCCUGCUUUCCCUUGUGGAUUGCGGGUACUCGAGUGGCGAACGGGUGAGUAACACGUGAGUGAUCUGCCCCCAACUUGGGUAUAAGCCUGGGAAACUGGGUCUAAUUCCCGAUAGGACUGCAGGGUGGUGCCUGUGGUGGAAAACGAUUUUCUAGUGGUUGGGGAUGAGCUCGCGGCCUAUCAGCUUGUUGGUGGGGUAAUGGCCUACCAAGGCGGCGACGGGUAGCCGGCCUGAGAGGGUGGACGGCCACAUUGGGACUGAGAUACGGCCCAGACUCCUACGGGAGGCAGCAGUGGGGAAUAUUGCACAAUGGGCGGAAGCCUGAAGCAGCGACGCCGCGUGGGGGAUGACGGCCUUCGGGUUGUAAACUCCUUUCGACCGCGAGGAAGCCACCUGGUUGGAAGGGUGGUGACGGUAGUGGUAGAAGAAGCACCGGCUAACUACGUG